rnacentral:rRNA from 1 species
GACGAACGCUGGCGGCGUGCUUAACACAUGCAAGUCGAACGGAAAGGCCCUGCUUUUGUGGGGUGCUCGAGUGGCGAACGGGUGCGUAACACGUGAGUAACCUGCCCUUGACUUUGGUAUAACUUCAGGAAACUGGGGCUAAUACCGGAUAGGAGCUCCUGCUGCAUGGUGGGGGUUGGAACGUUUCGGCGGUUGGGGAUGGACUCGCGGCUUAUCAGCUUGUUGGUGGGGUAGUGGCUUACCAAGGCUUUGACGGGUAGCCGGCCUGAGAGGGUGACCGGCCACAUUGGGACUGAGAUACGGCCCAGACUCCUACGGGAGGCAGUAGUGGGGAAUAUUGCACAAUGGGCGGAAGCCUGAUGCAGCAACGCCGCGUGCGGGAUGACGGCCUGAGGGUUGUAAACCGCUUUCGCCUGUGACGAAGCGGGAGUGACGGUAAUGGGUAAAGAAGCACCGGCUAACUACGUG